rnacentral:ncRNA from 2 species
CAGAAUCUUCGGGGAUGGGUGUAAUUCCCUACCGGCGGUGAUUGUUACUGACUAUUUAGCAGGCUGGUGAGUUAUAGAACUAGAGCAAUUUUCAAAUAUGCUCCAGGUUAUAGAAACUGCUUACAUAGCUAUAGAUAAAUCAGAGCAUAAGCCCGCGAGCCAUUGGCAUGAUUCGGUGCGAAUCCGAAGCCGACAGUACAGUCUGGAUGAGAGAAGAAUGAG